rnacentral:rRNA from 1 species
AUUGAACGCUGGCGGCAGGCCUAACACAUGCAAGUCGAGGGACCGGCGCACGGGUGAGUAACACGUAUCCAACCUGCCCUUUACUCGGGGAUAGCCUUUCGAAAGAAAGAUUAAUACCCGAUAUAAAGGAUGGGGAUGCUGUCCCGUAUGGUGUUGGUGCGGUAACGGCUCACCAAGCCUUCGAUGGAUUGGGGUUCUGAGAGGAAGGUCCCCCACAUUGGAACUGAGACACGGUCCAAACUCCUACGGGAGGCAGCAGUGAGGAAUAUUGGUCAAUGGGCGCUAGCCUGAACCAGCCAAGUAUCGUGAAGGAUGAAGGCUUAUGGGUCGUAAACUUCUUUUAUAUAAGAAUAUGUAUUAUAUGAAUAAGGAUCGGCUAACUCCGUGCCAGCAGCCGCGGUAAUUC